CCCGCUGCGACAGCGUACCCGGAACGCCAGGCUGCCGUUGGAGAAGCUGCCGCUGGAGUCGGACGUGGGGACGCCCCGGAGUUCGGCCGUCAGCGCCGUGUGGUUCAUGGUGCGGUUGAUGCUGUCCCAGGAGAAGUCCGACAGAUCGUACGUGGGGUAGAAGACCUCCUCCGAUGCGUUGGCAUUGCUGUACUCAAACAGCUUGGUGAAGAUGACAGCAGCUGCAUACACCACACUGCCGGGCGGAUCGAUCCACACGGCGCCGGUGGGCGCGGGGGACAGCAGACGGCCCCAGUCGAUGGACAGAGCGCUGUCGGGGCUGCGUGUGGCCACCAGCAGCACUGAGGGGGCCCCGAUGGUGCUCCACACGUAAUGCAGCGCAUCGCUGCGCCCCACCGCCCGCACGUGCAGAACGUUGACCGAGGAACCGUUCCAGCCGGGGUUGUACUGCAUCGACACCUCCCGUCCGCCGACCGCCGCCGCCGCCCCCAGCAGCAGCAGCGCGCCCAGCGCCGGCGCCGCCAUUCUCCUUCCGGC
rnacentral:lncRNA from 1 species